rnacentral:rRNA from 1 species
AACGAACGCUGGCGGCAUGCCUAACACAUGCAAGUCGAACGAAGGCUUCGGCCUUAGUGGCGCACGGGUGCGUAACGCGUGGGAACCUGCCCCUCGGUUCGGAAUAACAGUUAGAAAUGACUGCUAAUACCGGAUGAUGACUUCGGUCCAAAGAUUUAUCGCCGAGGGAUGGGCCCGCGUAGGAUUAGCUAGUUGGUGGGGUAAAGGCCUACCAAGGCGACGAUCCUUAGCUGGUCUGAGAGGAUGAUCAGCCACACUGGGACUGAGACACGGCCCAGACUCCUACGGGAGGCAGCAGUGGGGAAUAUUGGACAAUGGGCGAAAGCCUGAUCCAGCAAUGCCGCGUGAGUGAUGAAGGCCUUAGGGUUGUAAAGCUCUUUUACCAGGGAUGAUAAUGACAGUACCUGGAGAAUAAGCUCCGGCUAACUCCGUGCCAGCAGCCGCGGUAAAGUUCGAUAUCG